UGGUGACUAUAGCAAGGAGGUCACACCUGUUCCCAUGCCGAACACAGAAGUUAAGCUCCUUAGCGUCGAUGGUAGUCGAACUUACCUAAAACGUCAAAAUAAAAGCAAACA
rnacentral:rRNA from 1 species